AGAUAUUGAAACUGUAAGUCACUCUGGAUAAGAGCGUCUGCUAAAUGACUUAGA
rfam:Salmo salar isolate Sally breed double haploid chromosome ssa06, whole genome shotgun sequence.